AUGAACGCUGGCGGCGUGUUUAAGGCAUGCAAGUCGAGCGACGUGUUCCCGCAAGGGAAUUACGAGCGGCAAACGGGUGAGUAACACAUUGGUAACCUACCUCUAAGUCAGGAACAGCUCGCCGAAAGGCGAAUUAAUGCCUGAUGGUAAUGCGGGGACAUAAGUCAUUCGCAUUUAAAGAUUUAUCGCUUAGAGAGGGGCCUAUGUCUGAUUAGCUAGUUGGUGGGGUAAAGGCCUACCAAGGCUUUGAUCAGUAGCAGGCGUGAGAGCGUGACCUGCCUCACUGGGACUGAGACACUGCCCAGACACCUACGGGUGGCUGCAGUCAAGAAUAUUCCCCAAUGGCCGAAAGGCUGAGGGAGCGACGUCGCGUGCAUGAAGAAACCCUUCGGGGUGUAAAGUGCUUUUAACUGGGACGAAUCAAUGACGGUACCAGUUGAAUAAGGGGCUGCUAAACUCGU
rnacentral:rRNA from 1 species